AAGACUAUGAAAAAUGCGACAGAAGCAGAAGUUAAGCUGGUGACUUGAGAAUGGCUUUGGACUGCCUGUGACAGAAAUGGUGGCUGAAGGAAGAGAGAAAAAAGAACUUGGACAAGUCUGCUCUUGAAAUGAAUCUGUCACAAAUUGAAAAUUAAGAAAACUAAUUUACAGGUUACCUCAAUUUUUUAUGGUCAUCCAUUUUAGCAACACACCAGUAAUAAUAGGCUGAAUAACGUAUAUACAUGGUUUUGUCUUCCAUUUAAAUUACUCCUUCACCAGGUUAGUAAGUAAUACUCUUAUCUGUGGUUUCAAAUACAAUUUUAUUGAUGAUAUCUCUCACAUUUAAUGUGUUUUUUUCUAUUCUUGCACUUUUAUUAACUUUUAUAUGUUGUGAUUUACUUUUGUUGUGUUGUAAAUAGCCAUUUUUCAAUUAUAGUUUAUAAUAUAAAUGAUGUUUGCAAAGAAAAAUGAGUUGUUCUUUUUUAAUUUUUUUCUGGCAGUUUCUACAUGAUUUUUCAGAUAUUCCCAUACACAUGCCAUGUAAACUGAUGCACAGACACUUACAUCUUCAAAAUAAAUUUAAUGCUGUUUCUAUUUAACAGCGGGUGGUCCUCAUUGGUUGUAAAUUGAAACAAUAUAACAUUUUUAUUUUCAAGCGCUGGGUGGGUGAGGCUGGAAUCAGAGCAAUUCAUGCCAGGGAUUUGGUGUAAUGCUAUGGAGAACAUAAAGUGUGGCCAAUGUCAAACCAGUAUAAAUGUUUAAUCAUACAUUAAUUAGCCCAUCCUUGAAUGUAUUUUGGAGUCAGAUCAGGCAUUUGGCAAAAUCAGCUCAGACUGAUAUUGAGACUUCUCAAGUUGAACAACUACAUAUCAGCCAAACCUCAUUUUCAUAUCAGACAGAUGUCACCUUGAUGUGAAUAUGACACUGGACCAAAAUCUCACAUCAGUCCAACCUCAAAUUCAUAUCAGCCUGACAUCAGGGAAUAUGUCGGCCUGAUGUUGCACCAAAAUCUCACAUUGGCCCAACCUCAAAUUCAUAUCGGCCCAAUGUUGCAAAAUUGAGAUCGGGCUGAAAUCAAACCGACACAAUUUCUGAAGCAGGGCCAAUAUAGGUAACAACAUUGGUUUGAUAUUGUCCCAAUAUGGUUUUGCUGGCUGGAGGCCAUUCAUCUUUUGAAAGUUCAGUACCAGCCUGGCCUCGCCCUUCGUUGGAAGCAGUCCACUCUUCACUUCCUCCUUUCACAAGAUAAAGAUACCUUCCUGAUAAAGAUACCUCAGCCUAUUCUUCAACGUCAGGGGGCUCCCCUUUCCAGUGCCACUCUAUUGUCCACUGCUGCCUGAGAAUCUUAUUCUCAAUGGUGUAAGCAAUACAAUUUCCUACAGAGCAGUGUCCCCUCUCAUGUGCCAGACUCAGCGCAUGACACCCUUGCAACACCAAAUGAAACCAUGUCUCCACUGACACUGACACCUCCAAGGCAGUUGAUAAUGUCCAUGCCCAUCACCACAUCAAUUCCAUCUACCACAUGGUCAAUCAUAAUCUCUCACAGCUACCCUUACAUCCAAUUUCACUGCCAUCAACUGCCUGAACACUACUCGUCAUCUCCCAUUUUUUUGUUACCCUUAGGGUCAUGAUAGACGUCAUGCAGCUUGUAUCCAUGAGGGAUCUGGACACCUUUCCUCCAAUUAGGACUUCAAUUAUGGGCAGCAACUGCACGAGAGCCUCUACUUGCUCCUGGGUGAAGAUUAAGAGUCAGCAACUUCCCUGUAGCCUUUUCCCUGGCUGCAGUUUUGAGUGGCAGCAAACAGGUUCGGGCUUCAUCUCUGCACAGUCCCUCACCAUGUGUGGGCACUGGCCCAUAAACAGUCACUGCUGCUCCACAGCAAUUUUUCUCUCCUCAUUCUUUACUGAUCAUCACAUAACAUCGCAGGCUUCCACAGCUGCCAUUGCCACUGCAUUCUGCCUAAUGUUUUGUGAUGACACGCAGCCUUGAGCAAUGAACUUACUCAUCACCAUUUUCUCGCUGCCUGGCAGUAGUUGAAGUCAGGGAAGCCAGUUAUGAAAGCCAAUCAUGCCACCUUUUCUAGUCCCUCUCAGAUUAAACCAGAUAGCAUGGCUAGUCAUUGAACCUUGACUAUUCCCAGCUUGUUGAACACAGCAUACAAUCCUUCCAUACAGGCCUUCUUUAGGUGCUGCUUGCUCUUUGCUGCAUCCAGUUGGUCUCUCCCAUCCAUCUCGAGGUACAGCGCCAAUGUAUUUCCCUCCAGAUACAGAGCCAUGAUACCUGCUGUAUCAUCAGUGCCUUGAAGCCUGGCCACCUUGAUCUUAUGGAUGCAGGUGAUUACAUCUCCUUCACCACAAAAAGGUUUGAUGGCAUCAUUGCUGAUCCUUAUUUUUCUGCAAUCUCGUGGAAGGGGACAAUUACAAUGGUAAAAUAUAUGUAUAUAUGAGAAUCAAAAUAGCUUGUAGCAUGAGUGAACUGUAAUGUAAGGAACAAAAUAUGGUUCACCAACCUCUCAGUGUCAGAUGUCUAGCUGUAUAAAAUCCAAGAUGUGCCCUACCUGUCACACCUAUCGCUAGUAGCUGCUGCUAAAGCUCUGACUUACCCAUGCAUCCACAUGUGUCCAUUCACCAUGACUGCAUUGAGAUCAAAAGAGGAUCAUGCUGGUCCUGCUUCUCUCACUUUAUUGCUCCCUGUUCCUCUUUCAGUGGGGCUUCUUGGUCGUUGAUGUUACUGCCCUUUCCUUCCAGUUCACCUCACUCCCACAAGAAGCAAAUGACAGAUUCGGAUUGUCUGUAUUUUGAAACUAUGAUUUAAAAAAGAAAAAUUUUUAAACUGAAAUUUUAUUGAGGAAAAGGGGCAAAUAAAUUUUUUUAAAUGUUUUUGCAUAAUUGUAUAGUGGGUUAAACAUAAAUUCACAAAAAUUAUGAUAGAUUAAAAGGUGUGCUUCAAUCACAACUCUGCCAAUUGACUAAAUUGUUGAAAAACUUUACAGUGAUACAUUUAUUUUGAAACUCCACUUCAGCAUUAUUACAAAUUAGUGCUCACCCACAAUAUUCUGAAGCACCUCCAGGCACCAAAGUCUAGUGAUGAGCCUGCUUCUGUGUUGUAAUAGAGUGAAAGUAAAUUUCCGAGAAUUAUGGGUAUUUUUUCUCCUCUUUCUUGAAGGUUUCACAAAACCCUAUUCAAACAAAAUAAGCAAUUAUAUGGCAUCUUGAACAAUCUGUUUUCUACUAGAAUUUAGUUGACAACAUUACAACUGCACACAGAUUAAGCAGGUAAGAACAAACCCUAGAUGCAUACACAAAAGAUAUAUGUAUACAUACAUACACACAUGCGCACGCAUACAUGUGUAUGUGGGAGGGUAUACACAAGCAUAUGUGCACACCCAAACAUGUGUUUCACAGUCUUCAAAGUAAGAAGUCUCAACAUUACUGCUUACAUGCUAUUAGCCAAAUUCAACACCAAAUCACACCCUGCUACCUUAAAAAUGAAAGAAUAAUUUACACAAAGGAUGCAAUAAACUUACACUCUUGAUACAUUUCUUAAUUUCAAAUAAUUAUAUAUUUACAGGCACAAGCUGGCAUGAAAUUUCUUCCUAACUACAUAGUUCCUGGUUCAGUCCUACUGUAUGACAUCUUGGGAAAGUGACUUCUACUAUAGCCCCAGAACAGCCAAGGCC
rnacentral:lncRNA from 1 species